UCUGCAGAUCAGUGCCACGUGGUUUGAGA
rnacentral:piRNA from 1 species